rnacentral:rRNA from 1 species
AGUCGCGACGUAGUUUGAUCCUGGCUACAGGAUUAACGCUGGCGGCGUGCAUAACACAUUCAAGUCGAACGGAGAAGGGUGCUUCGGUACUCUUCUUAGUGGCGGACGGGUGAGUAACGCGUGAGUAAUCUACCUUCCAGUGCGGAAUAACAACCGGAAACAGUUGCUAAUACCGCAUGAAAUGGCAGUAUCGCAUGGUACAACCAUCAAAGAUUUAUCGCUGGAAGAUGAGCUUGCGUCCGAUUAGAUAGUUGGCGGAGUAACAGCCCACCAAGUCGACGAUCGGUAGCCGGACUGAGAGGUUGAACGGCCACAUUGGAACUGAGAUACGGUCCAGACUCCUACGGGAGGCAGCAGUGGGGAAUAUUGGGCAAUGGGCGAAAGCCUGACCCAGCGACGCCGCGUGAGGGAAGAAGAUCUUCGGAUUGUAAACCUUAGUCAACAGGGAAGAAGAAAGUGACGGUACCUGUGGAGGAAGCCACGGCUAACUACGUG